rnacentral:rRNA from 1 species
UACGAAGGGGGCUAGCGUUGUUCGGAUUUACUGGGCGUAAAGCGCACGUAGGCGGAUUGGUCAGUUAGAGGUGAAAUCCCGAAGCUCAACUCCGGAAUUGCCUUUAAGACUGCAUCGCUAGAAUUGUGGAGAGGUAAGUGGAAUUCCGAGUGUAGAGGUGAAAUUCGUAGAUAUUCGGAAGAACACCAGUGGCGAAGGCGACUUACUGGACACAUAUUGACGCUGAGGUGCGAAAGCGUGGGGAGCAAACAGG